AAGUCGUAACAAGGUUUCCGUAGGUGAACCUGCGGAAGGAUCAUUAACACGUAUCCAACGUUAAACAACCCUGUGAACUUUCAACGCUCUUGUAACCAGGCGGAACAGCAAUCCCGGUAAAUCAGUGGGCGGAAAAGUUUUGAUUCGGGACCUCUGUCCAAAAGUUACAAUCGAGCUAGGAGCAGUGGCAUGGUUUCCCUAAGCAGUGCAGAAGGAUCCACUGAGUAAGGAUAAGCAGACAUGUCACAGGGCUCUCUGCCCCUUCAUUCACACCUUGCUCUCUCAUGCCCGCCGGAAACGCCGGGCACAAAAACCGAACAACUGUUAACAAUGGAUAUCUUGGUUCUC
rnacentral:misc_RNA from 1 species